AAUGAGGCAUUUAGGGCUGUUACCUUCAGAGUCAAUGGAGGAAGCAUAUUUAGCCUAAUGCACUUGCUGCCGAGCCAAUAGGUCUAUUGCAGGCAGAUCAGGAGUCAUGGAGAGACUCGCCUUUCAACACAAAAUUCACGACCCAUUAAACUUAUUCUGUGAUAACAGCUUCUCUGCAAACGGAGACCCGUGGAAAACAGAGGCUGUCAUGCACUUCCUGAAAGGAUUUACAUACAGAAGAGAAGUACAUUCGCGAGGUUAUUGCUAUUUCACUAGUAUUAUCUCCAAUCAAGGCAUAAAAGCAGCUCUUCUCUAGCUAACCGAGGUAAACGACUAAAGAAAAGCUUUUUGCAGCCUCCAGAUCUGAUUCGCCUCCCGGGUCUGAGUGGCAGCAUCUCCUUGGGCUGACAGGGAAGAGAGCUCAAACCAUUACAGAGUAUCCGAUCUGAUCAGAAAUUACGAGCAAGAUGUUAUGCUGGGCAUGCCAAUAUCUAACUGCUGAUGUGCACUCUUCGAGAUGACAGUCAAAGAGUGAUCACCAGAUGCUCAUAAGGUAGAAAGGUGUCUGCAGGUUAUUUUACCUACAAUGACAGGCAGGAGACCUGAACCAAUGUGGCAACAUGCUUAACAGGGCAGGGAGUGCCCAUCCAAGAGCAGAGAGGAAGGCCGAGCAAACAGAUUGCUUGAAAGCACGUGCAGAGAUCUGAGAACAUUCUCAAGUAUUUUCAGUUUCAUCUUCCUCAAUUAUUCUUUCAAUAGCACAUUAGGUAUUAAGGAUAAAAGAUAAGGUAAUCUAAUGACCUUUACGACGUAACAAAAAUGCGCUUCAAAAGUCCUACCGUGUUUAUAGAAGUAGUUGAUGGAAUGGAGACUUUUACUAUAGACCUGUUUUCUUCAAUUCCAUUUAUUACAGAAAUGGAAGGUGUGGUUGUCAAUUGAACCCUCUUAUUCUAAUAUGGAUUGAAAAAAUUAAGUCCUAGUAAUAAACUUAACUGCAGCAGUAUUUCCUCUUGGUGAGAAUUUUGCCAUUUCAGGAAGACAAAGGACUUAAGAAAAAAUAAAGUAACAAGUCACCUAGAAAAUGACAGACAGCAUCCUUUAGAUGACAGGUGGCUAUGCUUGUCUCUAAGUAUUAAGUCCAAUGAAAUGCUGGUGAUCCUCAGUUCCCAAAAGGCACUGUUGGGGAAACAGUAAAUGAACUGCUCUACAGCCUUUUCCAUUACACUGUAAAAUUAAGUUGCAUUUACCAUGUUGCUGGCCUCCCUGAGGUCCUGCAGUUUACAGGAAGAUGCUAGCAGUUGGCUAAGAAAAGAAGGAACUCUCAAUAAGUGUAAACCUCAUUCUGAUUUCUGAAAUUUAUGGAUGCAAGUCACACUUGCUAACAAUAUUUUUAAAAUAUAAAAUACUGUACUAGCUUACAGCUUCUAAUAUGAAUGCAAAUGAACUUGUAAUUAUACUGUGCAAUUUUCUACUUUUAAAAAAAAAUCUAUGAAACUAGAACAGACCUGAAGAGCAACACGAACUGCUGUUCUUCAUUGUGUUCCUUCAUUACGCAGAAGUUGCCAUAAGCAAUCUGUUGUGUUUUAAUGUAAAAUAUUUUUUAGGCCAUACCUUUGCAACUCAAAUUCUCACACGAGAACAUUUAUAAAGUCACAGUUCCUCCUCUCUAGUGAAAAACAUGACCAAGAUGCAAAGGAGCAAGAAAUUCGGUGUGAUGAUUAGCGUAGCCUUCCUUUGUAAGCUUAUUUAAACUCAACAUCCCUAUGUUCUGCUUUCUGAUGAUGUACUAUACCAUCACAGAUUAAGUGAUAAACCAUUAAAAGUUACAUAUCAAGAACUGUAAGCCAAAAAUGUUAUUUCUACUAAUCACUGACCAGCUGGAGGAGCUGAAGAUAGGAACCUAAAAAAGUAGUUCUCUAAACUAUUUUUCCCAUGUGUUGAAUAGUUAUCUCUGCAGCACCCAGUCCCUCAGUACUUGCUAAAAUAGCUGAAGGGGAACUAGUAUCAUCUUCUUAGUUCUUGACUACGUUUGAGCUAACAGGACAAUGAUCAUAAGCUAUUUAAGGGUUCUGGUACACAUUAGUUGAGAUAGGGAUGAAUUCAACAUUACAACCAAGAGCACUGCAUAAAUUUUUUAAAGAAUUGCUUCAAAAUAACAUUAAAAUAUCCACUACUGAUACCUGCACAGCUGGUUUUUAAGUAAUUUGUUAUACUACCCAAUUUACAAUAAGAACUGCAGCUGCUAGUAAACCACUGUAAGAAGUACCCCACAGAGCAAAAAAAGUUUGCCUGGAAAUAAGAGAUAAUUCACAGGAUAAUUAUAGAAAGUGAAUUCACUGAUAAUUCACAGUCAAGUAUUCCAACUGCCCAGGAAAACGUACUCAGAAAACUUCCUGCUUUCACCUCAAAGGCAAGUUAAUCAGCAUCAGCUAACCCUGAUUAGGCAGACAAGCUAAGAAGGGAGCUGGUUUCCUUUCAGAGCAGACCCAAAUGAGUACCCCUUGCUGAAGGAUGGAUCUCUAGAGUUUCCCUUCCUAAAAUCUGCUCUGGUGAUGCAAAUUUUUAGCAUUCUAUUGGCCGAGGAGAAGAAAGUUUUAUUUAAUCCACUGGGUUUUGUCCAGCUACAAGCCUAUGUGUUUCUCACGUGAAAAGCUAGAUAGUGUCCAUGCUGUAGAACUGGAAUCAUCUUGCAUAAAUGGUAAAUCACCAGGCCAUAAAACCUGUAAGGUUAUUGUCAGUGCACAUGUGUAACAUCCAUUAGUAUUAAUGAGAACUGGACAUUCUCUGAGAUGGAAUAUAGGUCUCAUUUUCAUUAAACUAAUUCAUGUAUUGCAAGCUGUGAUGAUUAUAAAGGGCUACCAAAGAGUGUUACAGAGAAAUUUUGAGAGGUGUUUGAGAAGGAGCUUUAGGCGGUGCUUUCAAAGAAUCUAGAAGUGAAAGAUAUUUGUUACACCUUACCUGAUUCAAGUGUGAUAUUUGGAGUGGGUAUUUGUCAUUGUUUCUGCUAGCAGGGAGUUAAUUUUCUUCCUAGGAGCAGGUAAAGUAGCUGUGUUCUGGAUUUAGGAUGAGAAUAACGUUGAUAACACACUGAUGUUUUCAUUACUGCUGAGCAGGGCUUACACAGAGUCAAGGCAUCUUCCUGCUUCUCACCCAACCCCACCAGCGAGCAGGCUGGGGAUGCACAAGAAGAAGUUGGGAGGGGCCACAGCUGGGACAGCUGACCCCAGCUGACCAUAGGGAUAUUCCAUCCUGUAUGAUGUCACGCUCAGUAUAUAAACCAGGGGAAAAGCCGGCCAGGGGUCUGUUGUUCAGGAACUGGCUGGGCAUCAGUCAGCAGAACCAACACCAGCAUUUCAAAACCCAGAUAUAAUGCCUCUUCAACAGCUGCUGAUUAUUGACUGUUUUGCUACUGCUCCUUCGUGAUGGAAGUGGAACUGACGCUGAUGGGACCAUCCCCAAAGCUCAUCCGCCCUUUGGGCUGUGGAGUACAUUGAGGCCAAGGACUGAGGAAUUAUGUGAGGCUGCUUCACUGCUUAUGAACUCAGACUUCCACAUCUGUGUCUCAACAGUAAACAAUUGCCAGGGCUCACACCUGCAGUUCAAGUACAAGAUCUCUGCACUUCUGGGACCCCUACAACUCACCAUGAAGUUAAUGUGCAGGUAAAACCAGCUCCUGGGAUGUCAAUUUUCUCUUCGUCCAGUGAGGAGGCUGGACCCUGGCACUCCCAAUCCCCGCGCACUCUGCACAGUGAAGGUUUGCACAAGUCUGGAAACCUCAGCUCUAGGCAGCAUGCCAGAGUUUGUCCAAACAUAUUUGCCUAAGUUGAUAUUUCUGUAGUGCAUUUCAAAACUUUACAAUUCAUUACUUUCUGGCGUUUGGUAUUCAUACUUUUUUCUCUUUAGGCUUUCCAGACAGAAAUGUAAAUUGUAAGUGCCACCAUAGAAACUCAAUGCAAUAAUAUCAAUCUUCAAAUAACAAUUUAAAUGAAGGAUGUUUGAAGUAUUUUUAUUUUGUAAUAAAUUUAUAGGUGUCAA